rnacentral:rRNA from 1 species
AACGAACGCUGGCGGCAGGCCUAACACAUGCAAGUCGAGCGAGGUAGCAAUACCUAGCGGCGGACGGGUGAGUAACGCGUGGGAACGUACCCUUUGCUACGGAAUAGCCCCGGGAAACUGGGAGUAAUACCGUAUGUGCCCUUCGGGGGAAAGAUUUAUCGGCAAAGGAUCGGCCCGCGUUGGAUUAGGUAGUUGGUGGGGUAAUGGCCUACCAAGCCGACGAUCCAUAGCUGGUUUGAGAGGAUGAUCAGCCACACUGGGACUGAGACACGGCCCAGACUCCUACGGGAGGCAGCAGUGGGGAAUCUUAGACAAUGGGCGCAAGCCUGAUCUAGCCAUGCCGCGUGAGUGAUGAAGGCCUUAGGGUUGUAAAACACUUUCAGUGGGGAAGAACAGAUUCGGGUCAAUACCCCGGAGCCCUGACGUUACCCACAGAAGAAGCACCGGCUAACUCCGUG